GACAUUUUGGUGUUUUAGUUUUGAGAAAUGUUGACAAUUAUCGGUUCUCCAAUGGGACUGAUGCUCACAGCAUCUUAUAGCGCCAUGGUCAGGUUAAUAUUGGAGUGAAUGGAUGGCCAGAGCAGUUGCUUUGAGCAUCUAAUAUUGCCGCAGAUGGUUUUACAUUGGAGUUAGUUGAAAGCCUGAUGCGUCUCAUACAGACGCUCAAGGGUACCUUGUGCGUCUGUAUGAGACACCAAGGGGCAUGACAAAACGUUGGUAUUUGACUACCUGGAAAUGAGAACGGGUUGGUGUUGGAGUUCUUGUAGACUCUCUCUCUCUCCACUGGCUCCUCAACCACCAGCUGUGCUUCGCUGUGAAACGGUUUGAGGUCACACGACCAAUUAGCUGUUUUAGUAAAACCCCUCAGACCGAGAAGAGAGGAGUCAAACUGUGACCUCACCCCAAAGUGGGUAUCUUCAGCGUCCAUACCGCAACCGGAGGGGCCCACACCUGUCAAUCAGUGACUGUCAGAGGGGAGUGUGAUAAGUUUAGUGGACCAGGACCAGGUCGAAUGAUACAGUGCUUAUUCAUGCAGGUGCUCGUAAGUGGCACCACAGUGGGCACCAACAAAGUGUUAUGGAUAGAUGUUUUUCAGAACCAACCAGAGAACAAAGUUCACCAUUAAGUGGAUUGGCCAACAGUGGCCAACAGCUUAUUCCAUGUUCAUCAGAUAGUGUAACUUUACUCUUAUAUCUAGCAUUAGCUGUGCAUGUUCUAUAGCAAACAAAUCCACUGCAUUUACAUAAUGUAGGAGGGCAAAAUAUUAGAAACACCUCAGUAUGAUGCAGUCCCGUACAACUCAAUACUUUGACUAUGACCUCAUUAAUUAACAUAUAAUUGAAUUAACACAUCUCAGACUAUCAGAAUAUCAGCAAAAACUGAGCACUGUAAGCUUUGUACAUGUAGAUUUUAUGGCAGGGCUGUUGGUAGUUUCAGGUAGAUUUUAUGGCAGGGCUGUUAAUAGUUUCAUUUAGGUUGGCUGUUUUUAUAAUUACAUUUUCUUUUUUAACAUUUUGGUUCUGUUCUGAAACAGGUCUACAGAAAACUUUGGAUACUGCUGCAAAGGAGAGGGAGGACCUGAAGCUGUGAAGGCCAGCCAUUAUUGACCACCUGUACUGGACUGCAGCUUCCACUCUAAUGGAGAUCCAUUAGAGGGUCAGUUUGUCGUCAUUUGCAUCAGCAGUGGUGUGUGGUUUAAAUGUCAGGUGUCCCAACCUUGUCUCCUGUGCUUCUCCUGAGUCUCUUGGAUUUAUUUCUGCAUUUGCUUGGACCUCGCCUGGAUUUUUGGAUUGCCUGCUCCAUGUCCGAUUUGUUUGCCUGUCUUGGACUGCCCUCCCAAUUUGGACCUCUGCCUACCUGACUAUACUUGCAAGCCUUUCCCUGUAAUAAAUUAAUGAACUGCAUCUGCUCUGCCUCCAAGUCUGCAUUUGGGUCCCAUUCCUUGUGUUCCCUGCUCCCGUGCGUGACAUCCACAAGACAAUUUAUCAAGUCCAGUUAUUUAUUUAUUUCUAAACUGCAUUUUCAAAUAGAUUUUGAAAUUAUUACUUAUACUAUCUUAUUACUAAUUACUUAUUAAUUCAUUAAUGUAUUUUAAAAUGAUGUACUUAUUGACUGUUUUAAUGUUUUUUGUAAAUCCCUUUUUAAAUUGAACUAUUUAUUGAUGGAUUAAUAUUUCAUUUGUAUGUUCUUUUUAUAAUUCCUCUUUUUAUUGCCCAUAAAAUAUCAAAUAAGAAAUUACUUUGUAAUUGUAAAUGGUAAAUGGACUGUACUUACAUAGCGCCUUUCUAGUCUUUCUGACUACUGAAAGUGCUUUUUAAUUGUCUAUUUAUUCAUAGAUUAAUUUUGUAAAGACAUUUAUUAAUGCCUAUUAUUGAUUAAUGAAUGCUGCAUUACCAUUUCCGUGACACUUGUGGUCCUUGGUUUACAGGUGUUGGAGCAUUAUCUGAAAAAAAAAUUGUAUAAAGCCUUUUGUGGCUUGGGGAGGAGCUGUGUGAAGUCUGACAAAUGUCCUCAAUUGAUGUCACUUGAGUGAGUGUCUGUUGGGGCUGAAGACUACAAAGCUGAAAAUGAGAAAUCUGUGGAGUUAGAAAGAAGUGAGCUUCCUUUGACAAGGAGGAAGAAUGUGUGAAAUAAAGAUAUCUCUUGUUCUCCUGCA